CCGCCCUACUCCACCUCUGUAGGCGGCGCGGGAAACAAAAAGGAGGAGCUUUCCGCCCGGCCGGCGGUGCGGCAGCGUGGAGACCUGCCGCAAAGCGGCGCAUCCCAAGCGGAUGGCCGCGAGGCUUCGCGCGCGGAGGCGGCGAAGCUACGGCCCAGCAGCAUGGCA
rnacentral:ncRNA from 1 species